CCCCAUUGCUAUUAGAAAUAAUUUAACAGAGCCUUACGCAAACCCUUUAUGCUAAAUCGCAGGGAUUUUUUUAGAUCACCAAAAAAAAUCAAGAAUCCUUCUUGAUUUUCUUUCUCUCUCUAAAGCUUCUCUCUCAGAUUUGAUCUAAAGGAGGAACAGGUGCAUGGAGAUGGAGGAAGGAGUAGAGGGCAUGGAGGAAGAUGGGCGGCAGGGAAGAGAUCACCUAUCUCUUUUUCAUACGCACUUUUUUUUUCCAUCCUUUUAUUUUGUCGCACAAAACAAAAAUUCCUCAUCCAACUCCAAUGCCCAAAACCAGAUAAGAGUCGAUCCAAUUCAAAUUUAAAUUCAAAUUGGAUCAGUUCCUAUCCAAAGGAAAGGGGUGUCGGAUGAGAUGGCUUCCACCUUGGAAGACAUCAGCGCACGCACACCCAGAUGAAAUCAACGCUCGCCCUUCUCACCUUUUCUUAUUUGGUCACACAAAAUCACCUCAUCCCAUGCCACAACCAGAUAAAACUAAUCUUAACUAAUCACUAAUCAAGUUUAAAAUCAGUUAGGAUAAGAUUUAUCAGGUUAGAGUCUAAACAAACCAAGAAAAUGGGCGCUAACAUCCACUUAUUCUUCACCCAC
rnacentral:lncRNA from 1 species